UACGAAGGGGGCUAGCGUUGCUCGGAAUCACUGGGCGUAAAGGGUGCGUAGGCGGCCAACUAAGUCGGAUGUGAAAUCCCCAGGCUUAACCUGGGAACUGCAUCCGAUACUGGAUGGCUUGAAUCCGGGAGAGGGAUGCAGAAUUCCGGGUGUAGCGGUGAAAUGCGUAGAGAUCGGGAGGAACACCAGUGGCGAAGGCGGCUACCUGGACCAGCACUGACACUGAGGCACGAAAGCGUGGGGAGCAAACAGG
rnacentral:rRNA from 1 species